GACGAACGCUGGCGGCGUGCUUAACACAUGCAAGUCGAACGGAAAGGCCCCCUUGUGGGGUACUCGAGUGGCGAACGGGUGAGUAACACGUGAGUAACCUACCCUUGACUUUGGGAUAACUUCAGGAAACUGGGGCUAAUACCGGAUAGGAGCUCCUGCUGCAUGGCGGGGGUUGGAAAGUUUCGGCGGUUGGGGUUGGACUCGCGGCUUAUCAGCUUGUUGGUGGGGUAGUGGCUCACCAAGGCGUUGACGGGUAGCCGGCCUGAGAGGGUGACCGGCCACAAUGGGCCUGCGGGACGGCGCAGACUCCUACGGGGGGCAGCGGUGGGGAAUAUGGCACAGUGGGCGGGAGCCUGAUGCGACAGCGCCGCGUGCGGGAUGACGGCCUUCGGGUUGUAAACCGCUUUCGCCUGUGACGAAGCGUGAGUGACGGUAAUGGGUAAAGAAGCACCGGCUAACUACGUG
rnacentral:rRNA from 1 species